rnacentral:misc_RNA from 1 species
UGCUGAGUUUGGGGAGAAGGCAUCCAAGCUUAUGUUGGGUUGCAGUGUGGUAGUUUUAAGAGGUAUGUGACAUUCCUGUGUGUCAUAAUCAGUACGUUAACUUGUAACUUUAGGUUAUUAUUUCUGUCUGCAGAUACCAAAACUUUGGCAGAGCCUAUCCAGGUGGAUGCUUCAACAAGAGCCAUUGGCUGCUGGAAGGGUAG